GUUUCAGCAGCCGCGGUAAUACGUAGGGGGCAAGCGUUGUCCGGAAUCAUUGGGCGUAAAGCGCGCGUAGGCGGCCCGGUAAGUCCGUUGUAAAAGUCGAAGGCUCAACCUUCGAAAGCCGAUGGAUACUGCCGGGCUAGAGUCCGGAAGAGGCGAGUGGAAUUCCUGGUGUAGCGGUGGAAUGCGCAGAUAUCAGGAGGAACACCCAUAGCGAAGGCAGCUCGCUGGGACGGUACUGACGCUGAGGCGCGAAAGCGUGGGGAGCGAACAGGAUUAGAAACCCGAGUAGUCC
rnacentral:rRNA from 1 species